rnacentral:tRNA from 1 species
GCCUGGGUGGUGGAAUGGCAGACACAACCGUCUUAAAAACGGUUGCCCUUGCCGGGCGUGCGGGUUCGAGUCCCGUCCUGGGCA